GAUGAACGCUGGCGGCGUGCCUAAUACAUGCAAGUCGAGCGACCAGACGAGGAGCUUGCUCCCCUGACGUUAGCGGCGGACGGGUGAGUAACACGUGGAUAACCUACCUAUAAGACUGGGAUAACUUCGGGAAACCGGAGCUACUACCGGCUAAUAUAUUGAACCGCAUGGAUCAAUAGUGAAAGACGGUUUUGCUGUUACUUUUAGACGGAUCCGCGCCGCAUUAGCUAGUUGGUAAGGUAACGGCUUACCAAGGCAACGAUGCGUAGCCGACCUGAGAGGAUGAUCGGCCACACUGGAACUGAGACACGGUCCAGACUCCUACGGGAGGCAGCAGUAGGGAAUAUUGCGCAAAGGGCGAAAGCCUGACGGAGCAACGCCGCGUGGGUGAUGAAGGUCUUCGGAUCGUAAAACUCUGUUAUUGGGAAAGAACAAAUGUGUAAGUAACUAUGCACGUCUUGACGGUACCUAAACAAAAAGCCACGGCUAACUACGUG
rnacentral:rRNA from 1 species